rnacentral:rRNA from 1 species
GACGAACGCUGGCGGCGUGCUUAACACAUGCAAGUCGAACGGUGAAGCUCCAGCUUGCUGGAGUGAUCAGUGGCGAACGGGUGAGUAACACGUGAGCAACCUGCCCCUGACUCUGGAAUAAGCGCUGGAAACGGCGUCUAAUACUGGAUAUGAGAAGGGUCCGCAUGGACACUUUCUGGAAAGUUUUUCGGUUGGGGAUGGGCUCGCGGCCUAUCAGCUUGUUGGUGAGGUAAUGGCUCACCAAGGCGACGACGGGUAGCCGGCCUGAGAGGGCGACCGGCCACACUGGGACUGAGACACGGCCCAGACUCCUACGGGAGGCAGCAGUGGGGAAUAUUGCACAAUGGGCGAAAGCCUGAUGCAGCGACGCCGCGUGAGGGAUGACGGCCUUCGGGUUGUAAACCUCUUUCAGCAGGGAAGAAGCGAAAGUGACGGUACCUGCAGAAGAAGCACCGGCUAACUACGUG